CCAAAGGAUGGGGCCGCGACCGAUCAGGCUGUUGGCGAGGUAACGGCUCACCAAACCUAUAACCGGUACGGGCCGCGGGAGCGGGAGCCCGGAGAUGGGCACUUAGACAAGGGCCCAGGCCCUACGGGGCGCAGCAGUCGCGCAAACUCUGCAAUACGCGAAAGCGUGACAGGGCUAUCCCGAGUGCCGUCCGCUGAGGAUGGCUUUUCUCUGGUGUAAUGAGCCGGAGGAAUAAGGAGAGGGCAAGUCUGGUGUCAGCCGCCGCGGUAAUACCAGCUCUCCGAGUGGUAGGGACGAUUACUGGGCCUGAAGCGUCCCUAGCCAGCUAAGCAAGUUUCCCGUUAAAUCCAGCGAUCUAAUCGUUGGCCUGCGGGAAAUACUGCUUGGCUAGGGGGCGAGAGAGGCCAACGGUAUUUCCGGGGUAGGGGUGAAAUCCUAUAAUCCCGGGAGGACCACCAGUGGCGAAGGCUGUCGGCUAGAACGCGCCCGACGGUGAGGGAUGAAAGCUGGGGGAGCGAACCGGAUUAGAUACCCGGGUAGUCCCAGCUGUAAACGAU
rnacentral:rRNA from 1 species